AGUUGUCGUGGCCGAGUGGUUAAGGCGAUGGCCUUGAAAUCUUUUGGAAUAUUCCCGCGCAGGUUCGAUUCCUGCCGAUUUA
rnacentral:tRNA from 1 species